AUGCCCGGCACCUGUCAUGUUCCGUCUCACGCGGAUCUUGCGUUUCUUUCACGCGGUGUGAAACUGACGUGACGCGGUGGAAAACGGACACAACGGCAGGUGUCAUCAUCCUUCACUCCCAAACAAAUCGAUUGCUGCUCGGUGCUCGCCCUGCCCCCGCCCUCACAACAUCCGCCGCCCACCGUCAACUCCUUGCUCGCUUCUCUCGGCGGCUCUACUCCACUGCGAUCACAGCCAGUUUGCCGGUCGGUGCGCCUAUUCGUGCAUGGGCAUUGGUCAUGCUGGCGUUCCGAAGCUCGCCGGUGAGGAACCAGCCAUUUCCAGCGUGUUCGCGAGCCAUCACCCAGCUCUAGCUGCACCCCGUCCUCUCGCUUACUAGUGCGACCGUCCUCCUAUGUGCCCGCCGGUUCCUCCUCCUUAUCGACCCCCCAUGCUUACCAGGCCACGUACGAGGACAUCUGCCGCGUUCUGGCAGAUGGUCACCACGCCAAUCAGCAUCCGCUAGGCCACCAUCGAGGUCGCUGAGGCAUUGUGCUAGCAUGAAGUUGCAGGUUGCCGCUGCCAUGCUUCCUGCUCCGUGCUUGCGGCCGUUGAUUUGACCAUUCUUGCCAGACAUGUGGUUUUUCUGCAACGCUAAGACCACCUGACAGGGUUAUGUUUCUGUAAUGAAUCGAAGACUCCCACCUGACGGGGUUAUGUUAUUUUUGCAUAACUAAGUUGAGCAAAUCUUACUUAUUCAAGCUAUAUGUAAAUUAAUGUGUCAAGUCUUGCUAUGUAAUGGAGCUUUUUUUUUUGAUAACACUAUGUAAUGGAGCUUGCUAUCCUUUCUCCAUCAGACCAAGCGGGCAGCUGCAUCACUGAAUGUCCAAAUUCAAAUUUGUGCCUCAGUGCCUCACUACAA